rnacentral:rRNA from 1 species
AUGCGUGCACUCGCAGAUGAACUUGCCAUGGCUGGAAAGCCUCUUCUCGAAGGAGAGCUCAUUUCCUUUCUCAUUGCUGGCCUUGACAUGGACUAUCAACCCCUCAUAUCCGCUCUUGAUGUUCGCACUAAGCCUCUCUCCGUCGACGAUCUGUUCGGCAUGGUGUCGAACUUCGAUCAGAGAGUGGAGAUGUUCCACGGAUCUGGAUCGGGCGCCUUCAAGUCCUCCGCAAACGCCGCCGCUCGCGGACGCGGUGGCCCUCCCAAGGGCAACCGUGGUUUCCCCAAGAGUGGUGGCAACAAUGGCAGCAGCAACGGCGGCUUCAACAACGGCGGCAACAAUGGUGGCUACCGCGGCGGCGGCGGCCAUGGAAACAGCGGUGGCAAUGGCUACCGCGGCGGCGGUGGCGGCAACUACAACAACUACAACAACAACCAUGGUGGCGGCGGCGGCUUCUACAACAACAACGGCCAGCCGCGUCACUACUACAACAACAACCAAGGUCGCCACUUUGCCGGGUAUGAGGAAUAUGAGAACAAGUGUCAGAUUUGCAAAAAAACUAACCACAUCGCAAAAGAGUGCAAAUGGCGUUAUGCAGAGGAUAACUCCUAG